UAACACGUGGGUGACCUGCCCUUAGCUCUGGGAUAAGCCUGGGAAGCUGGGUCUAAUACCGGAUAUGACUCCAUGACGCAUGUUGUGGGGUGGAAAGCCUUGUGCGGCUAGGGAUGGGCCCGCGGCCUAUCAGCUUGUUGGUGGGGUGAUGGCCUACCAAGGCGACGACGGGUAGCCGGCCUGAGAGGGCGACCGGCCACACUGGGACUGAGACACGGCCCAG
rnacentral:rRNA from 1 species